CUAAAAAACCCCCAUAUACCAUUUUAAGACCUCAAAUCAGGUGGGACUACCCGCUGAACUUAAGCAUAUC
rnacentral:rRNA from 1 species